rnacentral:sRNA from 1 species
GCCGUGAGGUGUUGCCUUAAGUGGCGCAACGAGCGCAACCCCUGUCCUUAGUUGCCAGCGGAUCAUGCCGGGAACUCUAGGGAGACUGCCGGUGCCAAACCGGAGGAAGGUGGGGAUGACGUCAAGUCAGCAUGCCCCUUAUAUCCAGGGCUGCACGCAUGCUACAAUGCGCGAUACAAAGGGCUGCGAUCCCGUAAGGGGGAGCGAAUCCCAAAAAGUCGCGCUCAGUUCGGAUCGAGGUCUGCAACUCGACCUCGUGAAGUCGGAGUCGCUAGUAAUCGCAGAUCAGCAAUGCUGCGGUGAAUACGUUCCCGGGCCUUGUACACACCGCCCGUCACACCACGAAAGUGGGCAACACCCGAAGCCGGUGGCCUAACCCUUGUGGAGGGAGCCGUCGAAGGUGGGGCUCGCGAUUGGGGUGAAGUCGUAACAAGGUAGCCGUACCGGAAGGUGCGGCUGGAUCACCUCCUUUCUAAGGAGCCGUUGGCAACCCCCGUGAGCAUGGACAUCAGUUCCGUGUUCUGUAGUUGGGGAGACUCCAGGUCGAUGGCACUGGCUCCCGCCGGCAGUUAACUGCCGGCGGGCACACUGUUCAGCUUUGAGGGUGCGAAUCCUCGAGCACCUUGAGAACUCGAUAGCGAGCGCGAGCAUCUAUUAGUCAAGUUAUGAAGGGCUUACGGUGGAUGCCUUGGCGCCAGGAGCCGAUGAAGGACGCGUCAGGCUGCGAAAAGCUUCGGGGAGCCGCCUAGAGGGCUUUGAUCCGGAGGUGU